UAUCAGUGAAGACAGAGACGAGUAUAUGUCUCGAAACGUGAAUGAAGCGUGUCACUGUGCAAAUGUACAUUAUAAAUACAUACUUCGAAUUCUCCUUUCUUCGAAUCCGCGCUUUGUGAUACAUACCAUGUGCGAGAUGUUCAGUGGAGUUUGUGAACCAAAGAGGGAGCUAUGUAUUUACUUGACACGUUAAGGAGACUUUCUUCGAAUCUUGUUACGAAUAAAUUGCGGAUAUUUAUAAAGUGUUUCGACAAUAGCAGUACGACCGGGUAGGGGAUGAUUCUUCGUGAAAAAAUUAAUCAAAAAUGUAGAGUAAAGUUUUUGCGUGUGAUACUUUAUUUUCGAGAAAAUCAAGUUUGAAAAUUUGACAAGUAUGCUUGAACUUGUAUAACUCCGAACUGAACAAGACUAAAUUAUCGACAUAAAGUUAUUCUGCAUGUGACAAUAAGUAAGAAAUGUAGAAUACAAUUUUUUCGUAAGACGUUUUGUUUUCAAGAAAACUAAAUUUGAAAAUUUAUUAUGCGCCUAUACUAAGCUAGUUCUUAGCCAAAUAUGUUCAAACUAUCGAAAACUUCUUGAAAACAAGGUUUGAAAUGGAAAAAUUUUAUUUCACAUUAUUGUCUUAUUUUCGCAUAUAGAGUAAUCUCCUACCGAUUGUCUCGUAUUCAUACCUAGUCUCUGAUUAGCCGUUUAAAUAUACUUAACAAAUUUUGAAACUCGAUAUUCUCAAAAGUGAAGACUCGUACGCAAAAUCUAUACUGUACGUUUUCGACUCAUUUUUGCACGAGAAUUCGCACUACAAAAAUUUUCUUCACCCACUAGAUAUUAUACGUAAUGAUAUAUUUUACAUAUAUUUUCUUAUAUAUUUUUGAUGUAAUGUAUAUAAGUACACUCUAUGCAUUUUUGCAUCUUUAUAUUUACCAUAAAUGCAUAAAAAGAUAAAUAUAAAUAUCUUCAAUAAUAGAAAAUGAUAAAUAUUCGAAAUAAAGAUAAUGAAUACGAAAUCUAUCCAUACUCAAAAACUCUAUCUUAGAAAGAUUACUAUGGUAUUAUAAAUCCUAUCAUUGAAUUAUAGGUAAAACAAUGACCCGGAAUCAUUAAUGCUACAUAAGGAACUGUUACCAAAGAAAUUGUUGUAGAAGAAUCUAAUCUUCGAAAGAUAUCUGAAAUUUUCACGAUGGAAAUUUUCCAUGUGUUAUUGCAUGUGCCGCAAUGAUAAAUUUUUCCGUAUGAAAUGUUAGAUUUGAAAUUUUCACGAUAGUGAGAUAUCAUGCUAUUGGUUUUUCGGGAAGGAGCUGUUACACUUACAAUACGAUUAUAUAACAAUGAUAAUAUCAUAACUUUUGAAGACUUAUAACAAACAAAUAUAACAAGUACGAGUAUCCAUGGUAAAUUACAAAUCAAUGUUACGAAUACGGAUUAACACAAAUAUGUCUGUCAAUAUUAUCGAGAGCGUAAAAAUAAACUUCGAGAAUUGAUGUAUUUAUUUUAUAAGUGAAAUCUCAUUAUGUUUUCAGAGCUCGUGAAACUUUCACCCUUACGUAUUACGAUAUUAUAGCAGAAGUCGCUUUUUAACGUGACUUGAAAAUCCUACGUCUGACGAUUUAUAGAAAUUAUUUUAAAAAAUUAUAUAUAUAUAAAAUUAUAUAUUAUCAAAACAUCAGCAAAAGACAUAACAAAAGCAUGAAAUAUUUAUGUGCCUUGCAUAAAAAUUAUUCGAUUAGACGAACAAAAUUUUCCAACACAGUAUAUCCAUUUAUAAUUAGUUUUAUCCGUUCAUCUCAUCGCACUACUACAAACAACGCACUACUUCAUAAUCAGUCCAAAUUUUAUGAGAAAUCAUUAAGAGGAUGUGAUUUAAACUGAUGUUACUGUGAAAGAUAAACUAAAUUUUGUAAUAUAUAUAUGUAUAUAUAUUUUAGAAAAUAAAUUAGAUGGCAUAAUAGAUAGGUAUAUUUUAAAAAUUAAUGUACAUUGAAAAGAUUGAAUAAGGGAAGAUAAAAGGGACUUUAAAUAAACAUUAGCUAACAGGAAGGAAAAUCGAAGCACGAAAAAGCCAAGGUCAUGUUAAUCUGGUUGAUGCGCGAUAAAAUGCUCAAUAGAUAGCAGCAGAAUGACAUGUCUAACAAAUGAUUCAUUAAAAAAAGAAAAUGAGUCACAUAGAUCUUUAAGCUCCACUUCGAGAACAGUCAUAUAUAAUACAUUAUAUGAUGCACUAUUCGAAAUCAUAUUGUUCCAUCUAAUGAGAUUUUUAUUUUCCUUCUAUCGCUUCAAAGCUGUAAGCUGUACGAUACCUCAUGUAUAUAUUAAACAAUACUUAAAUCAAUUUGUGAAUACAUUACAAUAUGAUUCUACGUGUAUUUAAUUAGAUCUUGACGUACAGGAUGGCAUGUUCGUAGUUGAUUUAAACAUUGAUGCCAUUCGUUAAGACAACAAGCAAGGCAUCAUCUAUCACAAAAUUUACUGUAUUAAUUUUUAUUGUUAGCCAUGCAUGCGACCUUUUCUGACUGUCAUGUAUUUAUUCAUUUUUUGCUUGUUAAAACAUCUAUGAUAGUUUAAUAAAAAGAAAUUAAUUUUA